rnacentral:rRNA from 1 species
CUCAGUAACACGUGGAUAACCUGCCCUUAGGACUGGCAUAACCCCGGGAAACUGGGGAUAAUUCCGGAUAGUUCAUGGUAGCUGGAAUGCUCCAUGAUCGAAAGCUAUUGCGCCUAAGGAUGGGUCUGCGGUCUAUCAGGUAGUAGUGGGUGUAAUGUACCUACUAGCCGACGACGGAUACGGGUUGUGGGAGCAAGAGCCCGGAGAUGGAUUCUGAGACAUGAAUCCAGGCCCUACGGGGCGCAGCAGGCGCGAAAACUUUACAAUGCGGGAAACCGCGAUAAGGGGACACCGAGUGCCAGCAUCUUAUGUUGGCUGUCCGCAUGUAUAAAUCACAUGUGUUAGCAAGGGCCGGGCAAGACCGGUGCCAGCCGCCGCGGUAACACCGGCGGCCCGAGUGGUGGCCACUAUUAUUGGGUCUAAAGGGUCCGUAGCCGGUUUGGUCAGUCUUCCGGGAAAUCUGACGGCUUAACCGUUAGGCUUUCGGGGGAUACUACC